GACGAACGCUGGCGGCGUGCUUAACACAUGCAAGUCGAACGGAAAGGCCCUGCUUUUGUGGGGUGCUCGAGUGGCGAACGGGUGAGUAACACGUGAGUAACCUGCCCUUGACUUUGGGAUAACUUCAGGAAACUGGGGUUAAUACCGGAUAGGAGCUCCUGCUGCAGGGUGGGGGUUGGAAAUUUUCGGCGGUUGGGGAUGGAUUCGCGGCUUAUCAGCUUGUUGGUGGGGUAGUGGCUUACCAAGCCUUUGACGGGUCCCCGGCCUGAGAGGGUGACCGGCCACAUUGGGACUGAGAUACGGCCCAGACUCCUACGGGAGGCAGCAGUGGGGAAUAUUGCACAAUGGGAGGAAGCCUGAUGCAGCAACGCCGCGUGCGGGAUGACGGCCUUCGGGUUGUAAACCGCUUUCGCCUGUGACGAAGCGUGAGUGACGGUAAUGGGUAAAGAAGCACCGGCUAACUACGUG
rnacentral:rRNA from 1 species